GACUCCGUGGCGCAACGGUAGCGCGUUCGACUCCAGAUCGAAAGGCUGCGUGUUCAAAUCACGUCGGGGUCA